UACGUAGGGGGCGAGCGUUGUCCGGAUUUACUGGGCGUAAAGCGCGUGUAGGCGGCUUCUUAAGUUGGGUGUGAAAGCCCGGGGCCUCAACCCCGGGACGCCCGCCCAAGACUGGGUGGCUUGAAUUCGGGAGAGGGAUGCGGAAUUCCAGGUGUAGCGGUGAAAUGCGUAGAUAUCUGGAGGAACACCGGUGGCGAAGGCGGCAUCCUGGACCGAGAUUGACGCUGAGGCGCGAAAGCCAGGGGAGCAAACGGGG
rnacentral:rRNA from 1 species